CUUAUACUCCCUCCGUCCGAAAAUACUUGUCACCAAAAUAGAUAAAAAGAGAUAUAUCUAGAACUAAAUUAAGUCCAAAUACAUCCCCUUUUAUUUAUUUUGAUGACAAGUAUUUUUGAACAAAGGGAGUAUUAG
rfam:Triticum aestivum genome assembly, contig: Triticum_aestivum_CS42_TGACv1_scaffold_378806_5AL